AGCAGCCGCGGUAAUUCCAGCUCCAAUAGCGUAUAUUAAAGUUGCUGCAGUUAAAAAGCUCGUAGUUGAAUUUCGGGACUAAUAUGUCGGUCGUGCCUCGGUACGUACUGGUAUUUUUGGUUUCUCCCUUCUGACGAACCUUGAUGUCAUUAAUUUGGUGUCUUGGGAAAUCAGGACUGUUACUUUGAAAAAAUUAGAGUGUUUAAAGCAGGCUCACGCUUGAAUACAUUAGCAUGGAAUAAUGAAAUAGGACGUUUGAUUCUAUUUUGUUGGUUUCUAGGAUCGACGUAAUGAUUAAUAGGGAUAGUUGGGGGCAUUAGUAUUCAAUUGUCAGAGGUGAAAUUCUUGGAUUUAUUGAAGACUAACUACUGCGAAAGCAUUUGCCAAGGAUGUUUUCAUUAAUCAAGAACGAAAGUUAGGGGAUCGAAGAUCGAUCAGAUACCGUCGUAGUCUUAACCAUAAACUAUGCCGACUAGGGAUCGGAUGA
rnacentral:rRNA from 1 species